ensembl:lncRNA
CUCUUCCUGGAGCUCGCACUGGCUCCUGCCCCAGAACUUUUGCACUGUGGCUCCAUCAGCCUGGAAGUCACUUCCUCACCAGGCUUCCUGAGGAGCCUCCAAGAAUUUUUCACAUACCCACACCCCCUGGACUUUCUUCGAGGUGCUGCCGCUGAGAAGCGCAAUGUUACUGACCCCCAAGAGACUGGCAACUCCAUGAGGGCAGGUGCCUGGCCGCAGACCGAGCCACAGCUGGUAGCUGAAUGAGGCAGUGGAUGGGAGGGAGCUCCCUGCCCAUCCAUCAGCUGUCCAUCAGCUUCCCUCUGAUGCUGGAGGCCUCUGGCUCCCACUGAGGGUGCCCUGGGACUUGCUGGGAUGAGGCCCAGAAGUUACCCCUCGGGGCCUGCACUGAGGCCUGGUCGGGCAGUGGCUCUGACCACCUGGGGGCUCCCUGUGUGCCAGGCCCCACAGAACUCUUGCCUGGAGAAUCCCAUGGGCGGAGGAGCCUGGGGGGCUGCAGUUCUUGGGGUUGCUAAGAGUUGGACACGACUGAAGCGACUUCGCAGUAGCAGUAGGUCAGUUUUGAUCCCAUACAUUUCUAGAAAAUUAUGUAUUUCAGUAAUACUUAGAAUAUAUUGGUAUAGAAUUGUGCCUGUUCUCUUGUAACUUUUAAAGUUUUCUCAUUGGUUAUUAUGCCCCCUUUCUUAGGCUUCACUCUGUGUUCCAGUUUCUUGUUUUCUGGAUCAGAUUAAGUUGAAGUUAAGAUACUUUAUUGUUUGCUUGCUUAAUCAAG